rnacentral:rRNA from 1 species
UACGUAGGGUGCAAGCGUUAUCCGGAAUUACUGGGCGUAAAGCGUGCGCAGGCGGUUAUGCAAGACAGAUGUGAAAUCCCCGGGCUUAACCUGGGAACUGCAUUUGUGACUGCACGGCUGGAGUGCGGCAGAGGGGGAUGGAAUUCCGCGUGUAGCAGUGAAAUGCGUAGAUAUGCGGAGGAACACCGAUGGCGAAGGCAAUCCCCUGGGCCUGCACUGACGCUCAUGCACGAAAGCGUGGGGAGCAAACAGG